UCCUAUGCUCAUCAGCUCUCAACAACCUGCAAAGAAACCGAACUGGGCCAGACAACACCCUCAUGCUUGUCCUUCCACUGGGAAAGGAUUCCGAGGCAAGGAAGGGCGUGUGGGAACUAAGCUGCCAUCCCAGCUUCCAUCCUGGCCGAGAGCACCACCUCGGGCGGACGCCGCGGUGGACUCAGAGUAGUCUGCACUCGCACCGCCCGGAUUGCCUGACGCCUGCUAGGAUUCCGAGCCGGGCGGCCUGCGCAUGCGCGGCCUGCCACUCACGCGCGGGAGCCCGCCCCCGCCCCACCUGGCUCCGCCCCCACAGCAGGCGCGGUGAGGCCACCCGAGGUGUGGAGUCUACAGGUGAGGGCGGGACGGGUCCUGCCUCUGAGUCCCCACGCUGAGGUUUGUCGGCGCUGACACCGGCCGAGCGCCGUGACCCCUGUUUCACCCUUACCUAGGUCGUGACUCACGCGCGAGUUCCACCACUGCGGUAGUAACCAGAACAAACCUCUUGCUCUUGCUAGGCUCGUGGUAGCGGCUAGCCAAAGCGUGUUCUGGAGUCCUCCAGUCCCGGGCCUAACAUGACCCAUGGACAUCGGACAUUACGGAGCAGAGAGCUUCGGCCCACAGCUGCAACAAGGAAAGAGCAAUACGAUUAUGGUUAAGUCUGUGGUAACAAUAAAGGGGCUACCCCAGGGGCCUGUGAUAUGGGGAGACACCACCGAAGCCAGUGCUCCACAAGGCUGCUUCACUGAGGUUGUUUUUAAGGGCCAUAGGGCUUUUUGGUGAUGCGCCUGCUUUUAAGUCACUCAGCUUCUGUCGUGAGACUGGAUAAAUUCGUUGGUUACAAAGCUGGGUUCGGGAGGAGUCUUCCUUGUCUGCUGUCGGAGCUAAAUUUAGGGUGAAUGGGUGUUUGUUCAUACCUCCUCAGGCAAGGCAACCCAACACCAGCCUGUUUGCUCCUCCAGGAAGCCCUGUGACCUCUACCCUACACUCUUGGCUCUCCCCUCAAAUGCAGCAUUACCUUCAAAGACAAUUUAAACCAACAGCGAACAUUGGUGCAGACACUAGGUAGGGUGAGCCUUGCCCCACUCCACGAAUAGUCAGACAUGGAUGGGGAUAUAGCUCAGUUAGAGUGUUUACUUAGCAUGCACAAAGGCCUGCUCUCGACACCAAAGAAACAAGGUGGGUGCCUGUCAUCUCCAGAUUGGGAGGUAGAGGCAGGAGAAUCAAGAGAGUUCAAGGUCACCCUCAACUACUCAAGUGCAAAGCCAGCCUAGAUGGAUUUUGUGGCACUGUCUCAAAACAAAGACAGACAGGAACAUGGGCAGUGCUGAGGACAGCUCAGAUGUGUGUGAGUGUGUGUGUGGGUGGGUGAGUGUGUGUGUGUGUGUGUGUGUGUGUGUAGGGUAUUUCAGACACCCAGGAUACUACAGAGACACCAAUAAGAUGUACUCUCUGUGCCUGUGUGGCCAGCGCUCUAGUGAGUCCCACCUCCAACCCUAGCACUAGAGUUGUUGUGGAACCCUGGGAGAGAAACUUGCCUAGGGUAAGUGAGUCCUUGGGUUCCAUCCAAAACACAGCAACAAUCAGUCAGGACGCUGGAGAGAAGCAAAACCAAUCCCCUGCACUUUAACCAACCUACAGUUUAAUAGACUUUUUGUUUUGUUUUUCUUUUCUUUUUCUUUCUUUCUUUCUUUUUUUUUUUUUUUUCAAGACAGGGUUUCUCUGGGUAGCCCUGGCUGUCUUGGAACUCAGAAAACCGCCUGCCUCUGCCUCCCGAGUGCUGGGACUAAAGGCGUGCACCACCACGCCCGGCUUAUUUUGUUUUUCAAGACAGGAUUUCUCUGUGUAUCCCUGAUGAUCCUGGAACUUGCUCUGGCCUCCAACCCAAAGAUCUGCUUGCCUCUUCGUCCUGAGUGCUGGUAUUAAAGGUGUGUACCACCACACCACCACACCUGGCUACUAGAUUCUUUCUAUAUCUCCUUUGGGUGUCAGAGGAGAAAAUAGGAAGGGGGCACACAGGAGAUCAAAAAAAAAAAUUUCUUUUGGCCAACUCAGGGCAUCCAGGCUUCCUGAUAAUAGCUUGAGAUGAUGGUGCCUCCUCCCUUAUAUAGAAAGUUGCCCCUGCAGAUCUGGUAUCAGCCUCUACUGUUCAUCAAACUCUCCACCCUUAGUGCAAUCAGAAUAAGCUCUUCAGUUUGUAUGACUGCAUAGGAAAUGAAAAUACAGGGUCCUAGCAGGGCAUAGUGGCAUAUACCUUUAGUCCCAGAACUCAGGAAGCAGGUGGAUAUCUGUGAGUCUGAGGCCAGUCUGGUCUACAGAGGGACUUCCAAGACAGCCAGGGCUACACAGAGAAUCCCUGUCUCUAAAGACUAUCCACCCCCACAACACACACACAAAGAAAAUAUAGGGUCCUGUGUUCAGACUUAUUAAGAAUUUCAAGCCUGGCCUUAUGGCUCACACCUGCACUGGGGAGGCUAAGUUAGGGGGAUUGUUGGAUGUUCAAGGGCAAAACAAAACAAAAGAAAAAACAGAAGAAUUUUAAGAUGUUGACAGCAGAGCAUUAAAUGGUAGCCUGUCCUGUCCAAGCACUCUGAUCUUUUUCACUACAUAUGUGGCACACUCGUGAAAGUGACCCCGUGUGAAGGCCUGUGAGCGCCUACCCAUUGGGCUGCCUUGAGAAAGGAGCACCCUCUGGCCUUCCCUACCCCCACCUUCUCUCUGAAGCUGAAAGCCCAGCACAGAUGAUGGAAACAUCGUCCUGGAGGCUAAAAAUACAGCUGAGAGUGUCUAGGUCAUAGCUUAAGGGCUCAAGGUCUUUCGCUCAGUUAUGUGGUGUUGGGCUCCAGCCCCAGAUGCUCAUUUCAAUGCUUUGCAUGCCUGGGGUGUUUCGGAGACUUAUUUCAUGGAAAGAAUUAGGAUAUUCAUGACAGCACCUUGCCUUCAAUAGGAUGCUGACGUUUGAGUCCAUUCGCCUGAUUACACUUUGCAGGCAGGUUCUUUUUCUCCUCCUGGGGAACCUGCCUGAGCAGUGGAGUUUGGUCAGGCUAGAGUGUAAAGCAUUGAUUGGAAUGAAGUCUGUUCUGAAGGCUCUCACGUUGCAGAUAAACACAACACAAAGGUGUCUGAUCCCAAACACCUAGAGCUUUUGCUCGGAAGGCACAGUGGUGCACACCUUUAGCCCCGGCACACUGUAGGGAGAGGCUCUCUGUGAGUUUGAAGCCAGCCUGUAACAUAGGGAGUUCCAUGCUAUCAUGGGCUACAUAAGGAGGCACCACCUUACCAAAGAAUUCCUACGGACUUUGCAGGACUUCUGAUCACAGAGCCUGUCCCCCAAGCCUUCUGAAGGAGGUCCCAAGGACCAGUGUAAUGGGUCAGCAGAGAAAGGGACAUGACACCAAGCCUAGUGAUUUGAAUUUGAUCACUGGGGCUCACAUGGCAAAAAUAGAAAACUGGUUGUUGCAUAUUGUCCCUGACCUUCACAUUCAGCCGUCACACCCAUGGGCACACACACUGAAAGACACACUAGAUGAGCAUUGUAAUUUUAAAUACACACACACACACCUGAAAGAGAUUGGGAAUAUAGGCCAAUCAGUGGACUGCUUGUCUUGCAGCUGAAUUGUGUGCUCCAUACCCAGCACUGAAAAAACUGGGUGUGGUACACAUACCUGUAAUCCCAGUACUCGGGAGGUAGAACAAGAUAGUGUAAGGCCAGCCUGGGCUACAAAGCCCUG